rnacentral:rRNA from 1 species
GAUGAACGCUGGCGGCGUGCCUAAUACAUGCAAGUCGAGCGAACAGAUAAGGAGCUUGCUCCUUUGACGUUAGCGGCGGACGGGUGAGUAACACGUGGGUAACCUACCUAUAAGACUGGGAUAACUUCGGGAAACCGGAGCUAAUACCGGAUAACAUUUGGAACCGCAUGGUUCUAAAGUGAAAGAUGGUUUUGCUAUCACUUAUAGAUUGACCCGCGCCGUAUUAGCUAGUUGGUAAGGUAACGGCUUACCAAGGCGACGAUACGUAGCCGACCUGAGAGGGUGAUCGGCCACACUGGAACUGAGACACGGUCCAGACUCCUACGGGAGGCAGCAGUAGGGAAUCUUCCGCAAUGGGCGAAAGCCUGACGGAGCAACGCCGCGUGAGUGAUGAAGGGUUUCGGCUCGUAAAACUCUGUUAUUAGGGAAGAACAAAUGUGUAAGUAACUGUGCACGUCUUGACGGUACCUAAUCAGAAAGCCACGGCUAACUACGUG